UCCGUCCGGGUCCGUGGUUGCGUCGUGGGGACGCUCCGGCCAGCCCGGGCGUCCGCGCGACAAGCCGAUGCCAGUCGCAGGCGAAACGGUCCACGUAAGUCGACCUCCCCUCGAGGGGGGCGACGAUCACGGUGCGGCUUAGAAGUCAGUCCUGCCUCGGUCGGACCGUCAGAUGCGGUCCUCGCCGGGAGAAGGCGGGUAGUGGCAGAGAAGCUGCGAGAGCCUCAGCAGGCGGUUGUGGGGACGAAGACCAGGUCGGCCGGACGGG
rnacentral:ncRNA from 1 species